CCUACGGGUGGCAGCAGUGAGGAAUAUUGGUCAAUGGACGAGAGUCUGAACCAGCCAAGUAGCGUGAAGGAUGACUGCCCUAUGGGUUGUAAACUUCUUUUAUAUGGGAAUAAAACAGGGUAUGCAUACCCUCUUGUAUGUACCAUAUGAAUAAGGAUCGGCUAACUCCGUGCCAGCAGCCGCGGUAAUACGGAGGAUCCGAGCGUUAUCCGGAUUUAUCGGGUUUAAAGGGAGCGUAGGUGGAUUGUUAAGUCAGUUGUGAAAGUUUGCGGCUCAACCGUAAAAUUGCAGUUGAAACUGGCAGUCUUGAGUACAGUAGAGGUGGGCGGAAUUCGUGGUGUAGCGGUGAAAUGCUUAGAUAUCACGAAGAACUCCGAUUGCGAAGGCAGCUCACUGGACUGCAACUGACGCUGAGGUUCGAAAGCGUGGGUAGCAAACAGGAUUAGAUACCCGGGUAGUC
rnacentral:rRNA from 1 species